rnacentral:rRNA from 1 species
AUGGAUCCCAGCCAGAUGAUGCCCCGUAGCUUCCCCAUGUGGCCGCCGCCGCCCCCGCCCGCCGCCUCCGACGCCAUGCCUCCCCCGCCGCUGCCGCUGCCCCAGCCCUUCCUCGCCCCGCCCCAGCCCAACCGCGGCUGGAAGCGCAAGAACAACCCCAACAACAACCCCAACCUCGCCGGCGGCGGCGCCUACCAGCCCCCCGCCAUCGGCGACCUGCAGGUGCAGAACCGCGCCAAGGCCCGCCGCUGGUUCAACAACCCCAACAACGCCGGCGGCGGCGGCAACCCCAACAACGCCGGCGGCCGCAAGUACUUCUUCCCCAAGUCCAACAAGGGGGGCAACAAGGCCAAGGCGCCGCGCAACACCACCUCCUUCAUCAUCCGGGCCAAGCGGGCGGGGGGCAUCGCCUCGCUCGUCUCCCCCUGCCCCGUCACCCCCGCCGUGCUCCCCACCCCGCGCAUCUCCCCCUCCCGCGAGGGCCUCUCCGACAUGGCCCAGCAGCAGUGGGGCGUGGACGGAUACGGCUCCAUGAAGGGCCUCAUCCGCCUCCGAGCCUCCUCCCCACGCCACCCCGACGCCGAAGGGGAUGACGACGACUCCAGCAGCGGCAGCGACGUCGAGGAGCACGUCGAGGUCGAGCGCCGCCUCGACCACGACCUCAGCCGCUUCGAGAUGGUCUACCCCGGCGGGAUGGCCAACGGAGCCGCCGGCUACGUCUUGGAGGACCUCGACGAUGAGUACGACCAGGACGUGCACGUCGCCAGGCUCGAGGAGGAGAACCUGACUCUCAAGGAGAGGCUCUUUCUCAUGGAGCAGGAGGUCGGUGACAUGAGGCGCCGUCUCGAGGCCAUCGAGGCGCGCUUUGCAGGGGCCGACGGGGUUGCUGCUGCUGGCAGCGCCGACAAUGCUGCUCUUGUCCUCCAGCAGAGGGCUGAUGCUGAUGCUGAGAAUGGCGUUGAUGCCGCGCCUGUUGCAGGCGAUGCUGUAAUUGUUUCUCUGGAAGAUGCUAAUGCUAAUGCUUCUGGUGCUGAAAAUGCUAAUCUACUUGAGAAAGCGAAGGGUGAUGCUGCCUCUGCUUCUGAUGACACUGUUGAGGAUGCUCUGAAGAUUGACACUGAGAUGGAUGUUGCUGCCUCUGCUUCUGCUAACGCAGUUGAAUUUGCUCUGAAGAAUGACACUGAGAUGGGUGUUGCUGCCUCUGCUUCUGCCAACGCAGUUGAGUUUGCUCUGAAGAAUGAUACUGAGAUGGGUGAUGCUGGCAACUUGGUUGAGGAGGCUCUGGAGAAUGUCACGGCGAUGGCUGAUGCCGUUUCUGGUGCUGAUAAUGCAGUCAAGGAGUCUGACAUGAACAGGGGUGAUGUAGAGCAGGAGAAAAGUGGUGAGGACAUGGCCGGUGCAGGUUCAGAGAAGAAUGCAGAGAUGGCUGAUACUACUGGAAGUGGAGAGGAAGAGGGCAAGGAGCAGGCCUGA